rnacentral:tRNA from 1 species
GCUAUUUUGUCAGAUAUGUACUAGACUUAGGAUCUAGUUAAAUAGAAUUAAAUUCUAUAAAUAGCA